rnacentral:misc_RNA from 1 species
CGUCCUUGGAAACUGGCACUGUGCCGUCUCUUACCCUUCCCCAGCCUUUCCUUUGGGGUAAAAUUCUUCCCAUUUCGGUCUCGGGGACUGACAUGUAGGCCUGGUAGGCGCCCUGGCCCACGUGCAGUGGCCAUGCUCCUGGUAGCCGAUUGCAAUGGAAUCGGCCCCUUAGCCUUGUUCCGAUGACUAGGGUCCUCCGUUCUUUCUUCCUCCACGAUCCUUGCUUCGCAACACAUCGUGCUACUUUCGCCCGCAAUGGCACCUACCUCUUCCUCUUCCUCCUCAUUUCCUUACUUCGAGCAUGACACCGAUCGGGAGCCAACUCCAGUGUGGGACCGCAUUGCUGCUUAUGAGGAGGCUCCUCCGCAUUGGGAUGCAGAGGAGUGGGACUUCGCGGUGGAGUCUGAGGAUGACCUCUCCCUCACCGAUGGCGAGGACCUCGAGCUCCUCCUUGGCGAGGACUGGGAGGACAUCGAGGAUGACCUUUUCCCUGGGAUGGAGCCGAUGAGUCGUCGGAGAGUGAGGAGGGCGGCAUGUCUUUUGAGGAGGAGUAAGAACCACCCCUCCACGUUCGCUUCUCCGACGACGACGACGACAACGAUGACAAUGUCGGCCACGGGUCUAGCGACACCAACAGCUCCAGCGGCGACGUCGACGACGAGGAGAGCGAUGAUACCGGCG